AGUAACAUUGACUAACAGGUCUUUUCCUUCCUUUGUUCUGUGCUUCUAGGUUUGGAAGAUGUAUUGACUAUGAUUGUUUCAGGUGCACAUAACUGCAACUUAACCAACAGCCCAACAGUGAUUUAAACUCAGAGAAUUUUCUUUUCUGUUAUCCUUUAUUUUUAUUUUUUCAUGUAAUAAAAACGUUUGUAGGUAAGCAACCUGGCAUUGGGAGAGUACCUCACAGUGUCAUCGAUAUUCUAGUCUCCUUAUACCUUUCAGGUUUGCUGGCCUUAACUGGGACUUUCACUCUUACUGUCAUAGACUGCUGCACCACCAGGUCUGGCAUCCCUACUCUAUUCAAGAAGUAGGGUAAGAGCAAGGGGGUAAAACACAAAAGGAGGAUACAAGCUAAGUCAGUCCUUUACUAAAAGCUUUACAAAGAGUUCCAUGCAGUGAUUUCCACAUGUAUCUACCUGGCCAAAAAUGGAUCACACAGAGCGUGAGAAGCUGGGCAUUGCUGCUCCAAGCAAAACCAAAAUCUCUUAGGAAGAAAGGGAGGAGAAAUGGAUGUUAGAAACGGAUGUGGUAGGGUGAUGUAACAAUGUCUGCCACAAACUGGUAUCUGGGAUGAGUGAAAAAAAAAGGUAAAGCACUUGAUAUCUGAGAGGGUGAAGGGACUUGCUCGAGACUGCUUUUGUGCUGGGAAACAAAGGAACUAGUCAUCUCAUUUGCUUCCAUUUCCUUGUCUCUGGAAAUUCCUGCUUUGGCCUUCCUCUUAAACCUUACUUUUGCAGCUUUAUGAAUAUCAUUUCUUAGUCCAAAUAUGAUAAAAGUGUUCUUGAUAACAGAACCCAAAUUUUGAUGGAGAGCAAUGUGCCCAGCUUUAGUUAAUGUAUAAUGAUUGGCCUAAUCCAAUCAUGAUAAUGCUAUUUCCUUUUGCUACUGAUUGAUGUUCAUAGUUGAUUUGUGACCUAGUUCUAACCAACAAGGGGAAAUAGACUAGAGUUUCCAUGAAAGAUCUUCACUUUGGAUAAAGAACGAGAAUUGCAUGAGGAGAAAGGAUUCUUUCAUCUGCCUUUUCUUUCUUUUUUAAACACUACCAUGUAAAAAUGCUGUGCUUGGAGCUAUGGUACUAUCUUUUGACCAUAAGGCAACAAGCCAAAAGAUGAGAGGUUCUGAGGACAAAAAGCUGGGUCUUCCAUGACAUCACUCAGCUACCAAAUCAAGCCUGGGACACUUAACUCCUGUGUUCUUAUAAUUACAAAUAUAACAUUAUAGAUUACAUUAAUAUUACUUGAGCUUUUUAUUACUUGUAACUGAAACUAUUCAUAAGGCAUAUACCACUCUAUCAUUAACCUCCAUUUUUUAUGGAGCAAAAGUUAAGUACAUUCAUUGCUUUAUCCCUGUGGCACAUCUUUAAAGUUCUGGUUCUCAGUAGCAUAUCUUCCAUAGUCUAGAAGGAUAUAGGUAGCCCUAAGGAACUCUUUUUAUAAGACUGACAAGAUGAAUGAGAUAGAAGGUGAAACAAAAUAAAGAAAUAGGAGUUCCUGUCAUGGCUCAGUGGUUAACAAAUCCGACGAGGAACCAUGAGGUUGCGGGUUCGAUCCCUGGACUUGCUCAGUGGGUUAAGGAUCCAGUGUUGCUAUGAGCUGUGGUGUAAGUUGCAGACGCGGCUCGGAUCCCGCGUUGCUGUGGCUCUGGUGUAGGCCAGAGGCUACAGCUCCGAUUGGACCCCGAGCCUGGGAACCUCAAUAUGCCGCCUUUAUAAUAAUAAUAAGCUUAAAGAGGCUUAUAAUUUGGGAGGAAAAUGCAUCAUCUCUGCUUACAAGAGUGAAAUUAAGUUGGAAUGAUAAUGGUACUUCACAGUAUUCGAAGAAGAGGAAAAGGACCCUGAUCUCAACACCUAACUUAGCAGAAGGUAUGGAGGUGAGCAGGGACACAGGCAAAAUGUCUCCCUCUACAUCUCUUGAGCUGUUGUGGUGGGGCUAAUAAUGAAGUUGACACAAAACACAUUAAUAGAAGGAAAAAACCACAAAUUGUAAUUCAUGUGCAUGGAGGUCAUUUAGAAAUGGGACUGAAGAAGUGGACAAAGCAGGCAGCUUUCAUACCUUUUGGACAAAGAAAACAUAAACUUGUGAGGAAUUAACAGGAGAAAGAAACAGAUUUUAGGUCCCCAACGACUGAAGAAUCUAAACAGAUUUUGGGCUUGUGGUAAUAAAUUCAAGUAACGAAGUUUGUUUACAUAGGCUUCUCAGCUCCAAAUUCCCUCUUUGCUCUAUUAUUAUUAUUAUUAUUAUUAUUACUAUUAUGGCUGAAUCUGUGGCAUAUGGAAAUUCCCAGGCUAGGGACUGAAUCCCAGUUGCAGUUGUGAGAUAUACCACAGCUGCAGCAGUGCCAGAUUGUGCUGGACAGGGAUCGAACCUGCACCUCUGCAGCGAUCUGAGUUGCUGAAGUUGGAUUCUUAACCCACUAUGCCACAGUAGGAAUUCCUCCCUAUCUUUGUUGAUAAGGGUGUCCUUCUACUUCCAGAUGCGAGGAGCACAUCUUUCACAUGAGAGAUAUAUUUCCUGCUUUCAGGGAAACAGAAGGGGGCCGGGGGUCAGAGUGUCUCUCUAGUGUCAGCCAUUUCUUAAGUAACCUUAAUUCAAAAUAAUCAAUAUGCCACUGAGGCACAUUUUGCGGUCACCUACUCUGGGCCCCAACAACUGCAGUGGAAAAGGUUCAGAGGUCAUCAACUGAAACAGUAAUGUAGGAGUUCCUAUAGUGGCUCAGUGGUUAACGAACUCGACUAGUAUUCAUGAGGACAUGGGUUCGAUCCCUGCCCUUGCUCAGUAGGUUAAGGAUCUGGCAUUGCCAUGAGCUGUGGUGUAGAUCGCAGACAUAGCUUGGAUCCUGCCUUGCUGUGCUGGAUUUGACCCUUAGCCUGGGAACCUCCAUGUGCUGCAGGUAUGGCCCUAAAAAAAAAGAAAAGCAAAAAAGAAAGAGUAAUAUAUUCAAGGCAGAUAAGUUUGCUUCUGAGUUGACAGAGAUGGGAUGAGUGGUGAUAUAGUUGCUGUCUUCAAAAUGACAAAAGGCACAGAUAUGAGGAAGCAAGAGCUGAUUCACCAAUUCCAAGAAUAGCAGAAUCACAACAACCCUAAUGCACAACUUGAAAUUCAUCUCUCAGCUUCCAGUUUUCCUCACUUUAACCUCUCUUCCAUACAGCAGCCAAAUAUCCAAAUAUUCCAUGUCCCUCCUCUGCCUAAAAAAUUUUAAGGGCUCAUCACUGCUUAUGUGAUAAACACCCCAAACCUUUAUAUGAUCUGCAAGGCCUUCCAUGCCCCGCCUGCCUCCCUAUCUUUACCUCCCCCUGAACUGUCCUCUGUAUGUUUCCCCUACCAUCUUCUUCCCAUUCAUAGGUUCUACCACAAUCUCCCAGGCCUCAGGAUGUUGACAACACAACAUCCUGAACAUCCUCUUCAUUCAUCUGAGGUCUCCUCAUACUCGACUUUGGAGGUUAUAGUCAUUUUAACAAGGAAGUUAUCCCUAAUUAAGCUCUACUCUAAAACCAAUGUAGUAUACGUCCCAUAGCAGUCUCUUCUUCUCCCUUAAUAAUACUCAUCACAUUUGUGAUAAUUGGUCAAUGAUUUCUUCUCCUCUAAAAUAUAAGAUCCACGAGGACAAGACCAUCUCUGUCUAUCUUACCAAGUUUCUGGCAUAUAGUAAGCCUUGAUCUCUACCACACAGUGAAUGGCCAUCGUGUAACUCACCAUUGUGCUGAUGCCAAUGGGAGGGAGGGCUUUUAACAACUAAAGGGCACAUAUGAAAUACAGACUCAUGAUACACUAAUAAGAACAGAAAAAAAAUUAUUUGGGACAGUUUUAAUGACUGAGAUAUACCUUUUACUCUUUUAUUAGACAUCAAGGAAAAAUCACUGUCCUUCCUAACAAGCUCUAUGGUUUUGUACAACUGAGCUUAGAGCACAAGCUUAGGAGUCCGAAAACCCAGAUUUGGAUCCAAGCUUUUGUACUUUUCUAUUAGCUAUUUGAUUUGACAUACAUCUCUAAUUUCUCUGAGCCUCAGUUUCCUCAAGUAUAAAAUGGGGAUAAUGAUAAAACCUUUCCAACAGAGGCUUGUGAGGAUUAAAUGAGAUAAUACAUGGAAAAACCUCACCCUAGUGAUUACCACAAAGUGAGCAUACAGUAAAUGUUACUGGGAGUUCUUCAAAGUUCUGACCAUUGUCAUUAAAGACAAAACAUAAAUUCAACUGGAUUGAAAUUACACGUGCUUAAUAAAUGUACUGUUACAGAUAUUAUGACUGUCAUUUGUAGCAAAAAGUACUAGCACUCAUCUGAGCACAUGGUUUCCCUAGGGUUAGGUGGAUCCAUGUCUACCCCAGUUACUGUUUUGACCCAAUGCCCAACAAAAUAUUUAAUACAUGUACACACAUGCAAUAAACCCUUUCUGAAUGCGUAACUGAAUCAAAGUUCUAAACCAGUAUGAUAAUACAGAUACUUUUUCAAGCAAAUAGGAAGAGAAAGGCAGGGUUCAGCAGGAGAUAGAAAAGAAGAACUGGAUUUUUUCCCCUAAUAAUAAAAGCUUCUAAGCAAUAAGAUUAGAAGUUCAAUUGUAAUGGUGCAAAAUAGAAAACUUGCCGAAAAUUUUGUACUAUUAUAUGGUCAAAGCAGAAGCCCAUAAUGAAGGCAGCAGCAUUUGAGAACCAUUACAUCUAUGACCAUCUUUCAGACCCUGAAAUGCCGAUUAGAACAUUCCAGGAAACUGCGGCAGUUUUAUUCUAAAGGAAGAUUCUGAACUCUGAUCACAUCUCUUACCCACUCCUACUGCUUUGUCUACCAGUAUGGCCUUUAUGAAGUAAGGGCUUCUGUUCUCUCUUCCAUGUUGCUCUAUGACAAUAAAACUUUUCAGACCCUGGAAAGUCGAUUAGAACAUUCCAAGAAACUGUGGCAGUUUUAUUCUGAAUUCUGUUCACAUGUCUUACCACUCACAUGGUUUUGUCUACAAAUGUGGCCUUUCUGAAGUUAGGGCUUCUGUUCUCUCUUCCUUCUUGCUUUAUGACAAUAAAACCCAAAGUGUCUUCCACCCAAAGAGGAAGCUUUGGAGAGUGUCUUAUUAUAACUAUUACAUGUGACAUAAGGCCCACCACUAAUGUGAGACAGACAAGAAUAAAUUACCUAAAUAAGACAGAAAGAGCCAUUCACUUCAAGGAAGGCCCACUUUCUUGAAACUCUGAAGCACUGAAACCAUUUAGAGUUUGCUGUCAAGAUUCCUAGCAGUGCUCAUUACCUUGGCCAGCAGUCCCUCUGGACUACUGAAGACUUAUACAAAAUAUAUAUAAUCAUGGCUGCAAUGUCUAAGUGCAACAGGAUGAUUUAAAAGCACUACAAUAGGCUUCACCCAUGAUAUUCAUCUCUUCCUGUCUAUUUUUUUCUGAUCCAGACAAAAACUUGGAAUGCAAUCUGUAUAUUGAUAUUCCCUGAAAAGGAUUUCAGCAGCUCUUUAGGAAAGAAUGUUUAAGCAGUUUUAGUUUUAAGUUUAAGCUUCAAAAUUGUACAUCAAUGCAUUUAUGGGUAUAGUUUCUAUUUCGGAGAAAUUAAGCCCCAGUAAGAAAAGUAUUCAGGUGUGUCCAUAGAGGUAACAAACCUGACUAGUAUCCAUGAGGAUGCGGGUUCGAGCCCUGGCCUCACUCAGUAGGUUAAGAAUCCAGCAUUGCUAUGAGCUGUGGUGUAGUUGGCAAAUGCAGCUCAGAUUCUACAUUGCUUUGGCUGUGGGGUAGGCCAGUAACUAUAGCUACAAUUCAACCCCUAGCCUGAGAACUUCCAUAUGCUGCACGCAUGGCCCUAAACAGACAAAGAAAAAAGAAAAAAAGAAAGAAAGAAAGAAAAAGGGAAAUAUUCAAUUCCUGCUCUAACUGGAGAAUCAAGUACUGGUUAAGCACAUGUACUUUGGAAUGAGAUUGACCUGGGUUCACCUUAGGCUCCGCAUAAAUCUCUGUACAAAUUGUACAAGGGACUCAGCCUUUGUAAGCCUGAGUUACACCAUCUAAUAAACUAUAUUACACAGGCUUGGCAUAGAAGAACUUAAUACAUGUUAGAUGUUAUUGGAACUAAUGUUCUUAUUGCUAUUAUUAUUGUCAUUUUCUGACAGAAGCUACUAGAGCCCACCCAGGCAUACAGCUAGACACAUUUGCCAGCUCUGAUACAGCUAUGUGGGUUGAAGUGACUGAGUUCCGAUCAAUGGAAUAUGGCAGAAAUGAGGUAUGCCUCUUCCUCAAAGGGUCCAUGUAAUCUUUCAGGUUCUAUCCCUUCCUUUCUUUUUCCCUCCUCAACAGCUCUGAAAGCUACUUGCUUAAGAAUUCAGAGCUACAAGAUGGAAGGAACAUCCUACCCAAACCUUGGAGGAGAGCCACCCUUCCAAAACAUUUGUAAUGGAUUCUGAAUGAGUAAAAAACUUUUUUUAUGUUAAAUUACUGACAUUUGCUAUUGCUCACUACAGCAAUUAGCCUUCCUCAUAGUUUCCCACCUACUUAUAUUUUGGAUGACAUAAUUAUUUGUUAUGUAGGGUUGUCACGUGCACUGUAGGAUAUUUAGCAGCAUUCCUGGCUCCUACCAAUGUGAUGUCAGUAAUACCUUCUCCCUUAAUUGUGACAACCAAAAAAUGUCUUUAGACAUUGAUAAAUGUCACUUGGGGGUAAGAGGAGAUGGGAGAGAGGGGAUAAAUCAUCCUUGGUUUAAAAGCACUGGCCCAUCCUGACCAAAAUAUCAUCA
rnacentral:lncRNA from 1 species